GCAUGGUUGUCGUCAGCUCGUGUCGUGAGAUGUUGGGUUAAGUCCCGCAACGAGCGCAACCCUUAAGCUUAGUUGCCAGCGUUAAGUUGGGCACUCUAAGUUGACUGCCGGUGACAAACCGGAGGAAGGUGGGGAUGACGUCAAAUCAUCAUGCCCCUUAUGAUUUGGGCUACACACGUGCUACAAUGGACAAUACAAAGGGCAGCUAAACCGCGAGGUCAUGCAAAUCCCAUAAAGUUGUUCUCAGUUCGGAUUGUAGUCUGCAACUCGACUACAUGAAGCUGGAAUCGCUAGUAAUCGUAGAUCAGCAUGCUACGGUGAAUACGUUCCCGGGUCUUGUACACACCGCCCGUCACACCACGAGAGUCUGUAACACCCGAAGCCGGUGGAGUAACCAUUUAUGGAGCUAGCCGUCGAAGGUGGGACAAAUGAUUGGGGUGAAGUCGUAACAAGGUAGCCGUAUCGGAAGGUGCGGCUGGAUCACCUC
rnacentral:rRNA from 1 species